rnacentral:rRNA from 1 species
UACGUGAGGGACCAAGCGUUGUUCGGAUUUAUUGGGCGUAAAGGAGCGUGUAGGCGGCCAGGUAGGUCUGCUGUGAAAACUCGAAGGCCUUGAACCUCGAGCUGUCGGCGGAAACCAUCUGGCUAGAGUCCGGAAGAGGAGAAUGGAAUUCCCGGUGUAGCGGUGAAAUGCGCAGAUAAUCGGGAAGAACACCCGUGGGCGAAG